GUGUUUGGUUCAGCAGCGCAUAUGCUAAAAUUAAACUGAUACAGAGAUCAGCGGGGCCCCUGUGCAUGGAUGACAUACAAAUUCAUAAAAGGUUCCAUAUUUUA